UUAAAUAUAUUAAAUUAAAAUGUGUAUAUAAUAGAAUAUCAAAAUAUUUUAUAAAUUAUGUACAGGCCAAUUUUGGGCCACCCCCAAAACCCAAUAACUAACCUACCCUAAUCCAAAAACCCCUAAUCCAAUAAGCCCAUUAAACAAAACAAGCCCAAACCUUAGCCCAACUACCCAAAACCCAACACUUGACCCAGGCCCAGAAGCCCAAACUCCAGACUUAGGGUUUCAGAAACCUUAGCCUACUCAGCCGCAACCUUCCCCACUUGUACUUAGUCCCAUACACUGCUCCACUAUAGCAGCCCCAUACCCCCACGCGUCUGACACCAUCUGCCGCCGCAUGCUCCUCCUCCACCACCAGCUCCUCCAUACCCUGCAAAGACAGAAGCAGACCAAACAGAAUGGGACAAAAGAUAAACAAUAUUUUCCUAGUUUUGUAGUCGGCUAUAAAGCUAAGAAAUAAACAUUUGUAAAAGGGAAUUUUUGCUAUGAAAACAAAGAUUUUCUUUCAAUAUUAACAGAUUAAAUACAAGAACCAUUAUACAAUCAGGGGCUCUAACACCAAAUCAGAGAAUCAAAUCUAAAACCUAAGGUGACUUUUUUUUUUCUUUUUUUUCUUUACUGUUUUGAGUUUGUUUUUUACAUAAAAAUACUAAAAAAUAUCAAAACAUAAAAACUAUUAAGCAUAAAAAAAUAGAAAAAAAUAAAAAAUAUUUUUUUUUUACCUUUUCCGGCCACCGUACGCCGGCGCCAGCGAGCCUUCGGUGGCCGUCCGGUGACCGGCCAUGGCCGGAUUCCCCUCUCUUCUCUCUCCAUUCUCUCUUCCCUCU
rnacentral:lncRNA from 1 species